rnacentral:lncRNA from 1 species
GGCAGAACUACAAAUAUUCCCAAAAGCACUUUAAGGGUAUACUGAUACACAAAACAGGCUGCAUUAGAAGUGGUGGAGUAGUGAUCUCCCUUGCUGUGGAAUCCAGUGUUUCAACAGUCAGAAGACAUUUGAAGCAGGAGGAGGUAUGGUCACAUAUCUGCGCUGUGGGAGCUGUGCCCUCUGCUGCCUGCUUGGGCACAGUGAAGAAACAGGAGUCAGAAAUGUGUGUACCUGUAUACCUUUGACUUGAAACAUGGGACAAUUCACUGACAUCUUUUAAAAUAGUUGUUUUCAGAGGCUGAGGUUUUUGUCUGAAAACAACUUCUGACAUGAGAAUGUUUGGAAAAGUGCUACUGAAAGUGUUCAUUUAUAUUUUACUGCAAGCUGUACUGGCAAAUUGAGAAUGUUUUUUUUGUUUGUUUGUUUGUUUCUGGUCUCUUAAGAGACUAAGCUAUAUUCCAUGCAAUGAAAAAUCAGAAAAUUUGAGAAGUAUUUUUUCUUCUGUCAGUGACAAAGCAUACGAUUCAUGCUUUCUUCAGAAAGAAGGAGUAGAGAAGAGCUGACCCUUCUACCAAAACAGCAGUGGGAAAACAAAUGACUUAUACUUCCUGAAAGCUGCUUCUUUUUAUUAUUAUUAAACAUUUUUCAUUAAAUACUGC